rnacentral:rRNA from 1 species
UUCCGGUUGAUCCUGCCGGACCCGACUGCUAUCAGAGUGGGACUAAGCCAUGCGAGUCGACGUAGCAAUACGUGGCGAACGGCUCAGUAACACGUAGUCAACAUGCCCAGGGGACGUGGAUAAUCUCGGGAAACUGAGAAUAAACCACGAUAGGUCACGAUUUCUGGAAUGGAUCUUGGCUUAAAUCUACAUGGCCCCUGGAUUGGACUGCGGCCGAUCAGGCUGUUGGUGAGGUAAUGGCCCACCAAACCUAUAACCGGUACGGGCUCUGAGAGGAGGAGCCCGGAGAUGGGCACUGAGACAAGGGCCCAGGCCCUAUGGGGCGCAGCAGGCGCGAAACCUCUGCAAUAGGCGAAAGCCUGACAGGGUUACUCUGAGUGAUUUCCGCUAAGGGGAUCUUUUGGCACCUCUAAAAAUGGUGCAGAAUAAGGGGUGGGCAAGUCUGGUGUCAGCCGCCGCGGUAAUACCAGCACCCCGAGUGGUCGGGACGAUUAUUGGGCCUAAAGCAUCCGUAGCCGGUUCUGCAAGUCUUCCGUUAAAUCCAGCCGCUCAACGGAUGGGCCGCGGAGGAUACUAUAGGACUAGGAGGCGGGAGAGGCAAGCGGUACUCAGUGGGUAGGGGUAAAAUCCUUUGAUCCAUUGAAGACCACCAGUGGCGAAGGCGGCUUGCCAGAACGCGCUCGACGGUGAGGGAUGAAAGCUGGGGGAGCAAACCGGAUUAGAUACCCGGGUAGUCCCAGCUGUAAACGAUGCAGACUCGGUGAUGGGCUAGCCUUGUGCCAGCCCAGUGCCGCAGGGAAGCCGUUAAGUCUGCCGCCUGGGGAGUACGGUCGCAAGACUGAAACUUAAAGGAAUUGGCGGGGGAGCACCACAAGGGGUGAAGCCUGCGGUUCAAUUGGAUUCAACGCCGGG